CCUGCUCAGGAUGAACGCUGGCGGCGUGCUUAACACAUGCAAGUCGAACGAUGAAGCCGGAGCUUGCUCUGGUGGAUUAGUGGCGAACGGGUGAGUAACACGUGAGUAACCUACCCUUGACUCUGGGAUAAGCCCGGGAAACUGGGUCUAAUACCGGAUAUGAGUCAUCACCGCAUGGUGGUGGUUUGAAAGAUUUAUCGGUCUUGGAUGGACUCGCGGCCUAUCAGCUUGUUGGUGAGGUAAUGGCUCACCAAGGCGACGACGGGUAGCCGGCCUGAGAGGGUGACCGGCCACACUGGGACUGAGACACGGCCCAGACUCCUACGGGAGGCAGCAGUGGGGAAUAUUGCACAAUGGGCGGAAGCCUGAUGCAGCGACGCCGCGUGAGGGAUGACGGCCUUCGGGUUGUAAACCUCUUUCAGUAGGGAAGAAGCGAAAGUGACGGUACCUGCAGAAGAAGCACCGGCUAACUACGUGCCAGCAGCCGCGGUAAUACGUAGGGUGCGAGCGUUAUCCGGAAUUAUUGGGCGUAAAGAGCUCGUAGGCGGUUUGUCGCGUCUGUCGUGAAAGUCCGGGGCUUAACCCCGGAUCUGCGGUGGGUACGGGCAGACUAGAGUGCAGUAGGGGAGACUGGAAUUCCUGGUGUAGCGGUGGAAUGCGCAGAUAUCAGGAGGAACACCGAUGGCGAAGGCAGGUCUCUGGGCUGUAACUGACGCUGAGGAGCGAAAGCAUGGGGAGCGAACAGGAUUAGAUACCCUGGUAGUCCAUGCCGUAAACGUUGGGCACUAGGUGUGGGGAACAUUCCACGUUUUCCGCGCCGUAGCUAACGCAUUAAGUGCCCCGCCUGGGGAGUACGGCCGCAAGGCUAAAUCAGAAAAUUUUUUCUGCGCGGG
rnacentral:rRNA from 2 species